rnacentral:lncRNA from 1 species
UGCUAAGAAAUCCACAUGGCUGAUGUGCUCAAGUGCCCGUGUCAUGACUUCAGGGGAAAAACAAACAAAUAAAACAAACAACAACAAGAAGAAAGCUAAAUCUACCUAAGCUGAAGUGGCAGUGGAAAAGAUCUUGCCUGUGGAAGGAAAGGAAGCAGCGCUGUCUUCCAGUUAAUAACCACACUUGUGUUUACAAGACAACUGCUUUUACAAAACUGAAGAUCAUCAGAUGGGAACACUAACAACUUCAAUUUUAAAGUCCACUUCUGACCUAACAAGAAGCGUGGGAUACUUCAUUACAGAGGAUAUUCUACUGAAAUAUGAAACACACAUGAAAUCAUGAGCACUUAAGGAAAGUGCUCUUGUGGCCACAGCUAUCAUAUGAUAUUAAAACUGCAGCAUGACAGUAGUUGUUGUAAAUAAAUACAUAUUACAAUAAGUAAAAAAAAUGCAAUUACAAUUUCACAAUAUUUAUUUCUGUGAUCAAAUUUACAUACGAACUGCAAAGUAUGAGAAAUAUGAACCUUUGCAUAUACUCCCACAGACUGUGUAGAUAUAUCCACACAUUUAUGUGUACAGAUAUUAUAUUAAAAGACUGUUACACUUAUAAAAUAUUUUAGAGAAUAAUUUAUGUGGACAGGUUUAGAUAUUCAUUCUUACUCAGAAUGAUAAGCAAGCAGGCUGAAUAUAUUUGAAAAUGUAGUAAAUCAAGUUUUGGUCUUGCUAACACUAAUACACAUUCAUUUAGAUAAAUCUGAUGAGAAUUUUACCCAACCAAUAUAUCUUUAAAAGCUAAUCAAGUGAAUCUCUUUAAUAGCAUCAAGCCUCAUUUGGAAAGUUCACAAUCCAUAAUUAGCUGCUUCUUUGAAAAUGUUUGCUAAAAUUGUAGUUUUGGAACAGAUUACAGUUCAAAUCUUACAUGUGCAUGAAAUAAUUCAUUUGCCCAAACACCCCAAUUUUAGACAUUACUUGCAAAUGAAAAUUACAUCCCACAUGAUUUUAGUAUUAGCUUUUAUAUGAGCACUAAAUAUAAAAUGGUAGUCUGACCUUUAAGAAAAACUGUAUCUAAUAACAAAAUUAAAGAACAGGUUUAAAGAUUUGGUCACUAGUCUUUAUAAAAGGGAAAAAAGAAAACAAAAUCCCUUGCAGUCACAUUCUAUCAUUCUCUUUCAACUAUUCUUUUAGGUUUCUUUCCACUAUAUUUAAUUUUAUUUCAUUAUAUGCAGGAAGGCUAAUAACCAACCAUUUUGAUUCUGUUCAUUUAUUUUCCCCCAUUUAGACCAUUUUUCUUACCCUGAUUCAUUUUGUAACCAAAUUCAUUUUAAUUUAAUUUGUUUCAUUAAAGCUAAGGUUUUCCAAUUUUUGAAAUGUAAGAGAGACUAAACAGAGUUACUUUAUCUUGCUAGGUCCAAAGGUCUUGCAGAAUACUCAGAUUUCAAUAGUAGUAUGUAAAUAGCAUGUAUUUUUUUUCUCUUGUGGAAAAAGGUGAAUUGGAUUAUUCCAUCAAAUUUUACAUUUUCUAACAAUACUGAUCUUUUCAAAAUCCUGUUUCCGUAAGUGUCAUUUUCCCCUAUGCUCCAGAGAACUGUCAAAAAAUUAUGGGAAACAAAACCAAAACACUUCUUUCACCAGAAAAUUUUCAUAAAGAAAAUAUCAGAAUGAGAUUGAAGUUCUGAAUCAACAUAUUUCAGGGUUUUACUUAUUUUCUUCUUAUUUGGAUGUGAGUAAUGACGUAGAGAUAGAGAAUUUAUUAUUCUGUCUUACCUGGACAAGUUGUCCCUUGAGUAUUUUUUUAUGUUGUCUAUGUUAUAUGACACAUUAAUAUUUCACUACAUCGCCAUCUUCAUUCUUCUCGGAAGCUCAGAGGAAGAGAAAAGAAGCACUCUCAUUUCUCUUCUCCUUUUCUGCAGACAUUUCUGCAGAUAUAGGCUUGAUAUUUUAGCAACGAGGACCUUAACUUUGCUUCUGAUGACUGCUGGCAAAAGACCCUAGAUAAACAUGCAUAAUAGUCAGCCAGACAGAAAAAUAACCACUGUGGGCAACAAAAUAAUAGGCGGAACAAAAAAAGGAUUGGGGUUAGCCAUAGCUCUGGUCAUCUGCCUGCUACAUGCAUUGGUAUCUUAAAUGCCCAAAAAAGGUGGUGUCAAAAUUUUAAUUUAGAUUAAGAACAUGACUUAGUAAGUGUAACAGAUUUAGAGAAAUGAUUCACAUGAAAAGGAUGUAACAUCGAAUGCUGCAAACUAUUGGGGAAGGAUAGUGUUAAAAGAGAGAAGUUAUUCCCCACUGUAUCAAGGAUGUGAUUUCAUUCUGAAGUCCAGUGUGCAGAGGAAUUUAGAAGUGAAGAAAGCCUGAGUAAUAACAAAAAGAAGGCACUAAUACAGCUGGCAAUGUGCUGGGGAUCUACUAUAAACCUUGGAACAGGAAUUAGCUGAAUAAGGCUUACUGGUUCUUUCCAACACAGCAUAGUAGUGUUAAUUAAGAAACUGCAUCUUUGGGUUGUGUAACUACAGAACCAGUCUCAAGAUAAAUAGAUACCUUAUUUAUUUAGCUCUCUAUGUUGUUAAAUUAUUUAAUGAACCUUAUUAUUGGUGUUAGAUGAAUAUGAAUUAAUAUACAUUGUAUUCUUGUGACUUUAUAAAUGUGGCAUAUGUUCAAAGCAUGUUCAAUCUAAAGCAUUGCUUCUUUUAGGGCAGCAGACCCCAGUAUGUGGAUGACUGACUUACAUUUAUUUACUAAAUCUACUAGAUAGGGAUUUUUCUUGCCUUAAUACUGAAGUACACAACUCCCAUUUCCCUGACAAACAGUCUCUGAUACUUCAAAAACCUUAGGACUGCCUGACUCAUUCUCUUCUUGUUAAAAGAGACUUAACUACAGAGGCAUCUGCCAGAAGACAAAAUAAGGAAUAGAAUCUAUCUAGCAAGUUCUUGUUACUCAUCAGUGGCAACUUGAUAUUAAAAAACAAACAAACAAAAACAAAAGAAAAAACAGAGAAAAACAAUCUAGUUGAAAAGAGCUGGUUUAGGACAUGAAGGUGAGGGCAAGACAGACAGAGGUGAGACCCUUGGAUAGGAGAUAAAAAAAUAAUAGAACAGCAGAUAUCAUCAAGGAACAUCCAGAGAAUGCAAAUGAAAAUAAUCUCCUUCAAAGAUAAAAGAUAUGGAACAAAUGGUCAUACUGUUGAAUAGAUUACAAAACUGAACAAGCAUCAAGAAGGUGAUGCUAUAAUAAACAAACAAAUAAAUAAGGAGUACUGUCUGUGGAAAACAUAAAAUAAUGCGUAGGGUUUACUACAGAAGAUUCUAAGACAUUGGUCAGUCAUAUAUAAGAAUACCGUGUUCAGCCUGGGGAAUCCCAGUUUGGGAGAGGCAUAGAUUGAAGAGAAAAAUAAGAGGAGGAAUAGAGGAAUAAGAAUGAAGACAUGCAGAAAAAGUGUAAUCUCAGAUGAGAGACCAAAAAAACCAAUAAAAAUAAACUUGAUCUAACUUGAUCUACAUAGGAAUAGACUGAAGGGAAUCAGGAAAAGCCAUCAUAACAGCUUUCAUCAUAAAAACUCCUCCAAAGAAAAAGUGUUACCUGUGGCCUUCCUGAAUGGUCCUUUAGAGAUAUGAGCUUUUCCAUGUCUAUGACAGAUAUAACAGGAUUAAAGUAUAGCAAAGGUAAUUCAGAUUACAUAAAUAAAAAGUCAUCAUAGCAGUAAAACCCUUGCAUUCAUUUCUUGGAAAUAUCAUAACAAUGCUAGAGGAAUACACCUGAAAUGAAAGAGAUAUAUUUGGUCUGAUUUUGGUAUAGAGAAUGAAUAAUGGUACUGUUUAAGCUAUUCUAAGAUUUCUAUGUCUGUGAUUUUUCUGGAUUGAUUAAGG